GAUGAAGAACGUAGCGAAAUGCGAUAAGUAAUGUGAAUUGCAGAAUUCAGUGAAUCAUCGAAUCUUUGAACGCACAUUGCGCCCGCCAGUAUUCUGGCGGGCAUGCCUGUUCGAGCGUCAUUUCCACCAUCAGGCCCCCGGGCCUGUGUUGGGGACCUGCGGCUGCCCGCAGGCCCCGAAAUUCAGUGGCGGUCGCGCCGUAGCAACCGAGCGUAGUAACUAAAACGUCUCGCUCUGGCUCGCUGGGCGCGCUCCGGCCGUAAAACACCCCCCCUUUUCGCAAGGGUUGACCUCGGAUCAGGUAGGAAUACCCGCUGAACUUUAGCAUAUCAAUAAGCGGAGGA
rnacentral:misc_RNA from 1 species